rnacentral:misc_RNA from 1 species
AGCAAAUCACUCAAGAUUCAGACUCUCCCUAAGAUAAUGAUAUUGCACUUGAUGCGUUUCAGCUAUGGGAACAAAGGAAGCACAAAACUGCAUAAGCCUAUUUACUUCCCUCCUGAGCUAGUUUUAGGACGUGAGCUGCUUGCGUCUCCAUAUACGGAGGGUCGGAAAUAUGAGCUUGUAGCCACCAUUACUCAUCAUGGAAG